rnacentral:rRNA from 1 species
AUUGAACGCUGGCGGCAUGCCUUACACAUGCAAGUCGAACGGUAACAGGUUAAGCUGACGAGUGGCGAACGGGUGAGUAAUAUAUCGGAACGUGCCCAGUCGUGGGGGAUAACGUAGCGAAAGCUACGCUAAUACCGCAUACGAUCUACGGAUGAAAGCGGGGGAUCGCAAGACCUCGCGCGAUUGGAGCGGCCGAUAUCAGAUUAGGUUGUUGGUGAGGUAAAGGCUCACCAAGCCUGCGAUCUGUAGCUGGUCUGAGAGGACGACCAGCCACACUGGGACUGAGACACGGUCCAGACUCCUACGGGAGGCAGCAGUGGGGAAUUUUGGACAAUGGGCGAAAGCCUGAUCCAGCAAUGCCGCGUGCAGGAUGAAGGCCUUCGGGUUGUAAACUGCUUUUGUACGGAACGAAACGGUGAGCUCUAAUACAGUUUGCUAAUGACGGUACCGUAAGAAUAAGCACCGGCUAACUACGUGCCAGCCGCCGCAGUAA